rnacentral:rRNA from 1 species
UACGUAGGCAGCAAGCGUUGUUCGGAAUUACUGGGCGUAAAGAGUGUGUAGGCGGUGCUCUAAGUCUGUUGUGAAAUCUCCCGGCUUAACUGGGAGGGUGCGGCGGAGACUGGAGUGCUAGAGUGUGGGAGAGGUAAGCGGAAUUCCUGGUGUAGCGGUGAAAUGCGUAGAUAUCAGGAAGAACACCAACGGCGAAGGCAGCUCGCUGGGACGGUACUGACGCUGAGACGCGAAAGCGUGGGGAGCGAACAGG